rnacentral:rRNA from 1 species
ACAAUGAAGAGUUUGAUCCUGGCUCAGGAUGAACGCUAGCGGCAGGCUUAACACAUGCAAGUCGAGGGGCAGCGGGGGUAGCAAUACCUGCCGGCGACCGGCGCAAG